GUUCCGUCGUGUCGUUCCCCUAUUUAAGAAAGCCGCCCGUAACAUCGCUAAAGACGUUGUCACUACGGCUUCGACCGCCUUUAUGGAUCGUAUAAAUAGGUUGACGCAGGGCCAGGAGGGCUCUGGUGUCGUACAAAUACGUA